CAGCCGCCGCGGUAACACCGAGGGUGCGAGCGUUAAUCGGAUUUACUGGGCGUAAAGCGUGCGUAGGCGGCUUCUUAAGUCGGAUGUGAAAUCCCUGAGCUUAACUUAGGAAUUGCAUUCGAUACUGGGAAGCUAGAGUAUGGGAGAGGAUGGUAGAAUUCCAGGUGUAGCGGUGAAAUGCGUAGAGAUCUGGAGGAAUACCGAUGGCGAAGGCAGCCAUCUGGCCUAAUACUGACGCUGAGGUACGAAAGCAUGGGGAGCAAACAGGAUUAGAUACCCCAGUAGUCCCUGUCUCUUAUAC
rnacentral:rRNA from 1 species